rnacentral:rRNA from 1 species
CUUUAUUUCUUCUACACAAUUGUCGCAGAAGAGCACAGAGGAGGGUAUCCCAAGGCGCUGGCACGUAAGAGAAGCUGUUUCUUAGUCUAAAACUGAGAGACUUAGGGCUGGGUAAGACGGGCCCAGCCGCCGGGAAAUCCCUGCAGCUCAAGGGGGGGCCGCUUUUAUUGGGCCUAAAACGUCGGUGGCUGGUUAAGAAAAGGCUGGGGUAAUUUGGUUAGCUUACCUAUACGAACACGGGGAGGACUGCUAACCUGGGGACGGGUAGAGGUUAGAGGAAUCCCUGGGGAAGAGUUGAAAUUCUGAAAUCUUGGGGGGACCACCGGUGGGGGAGGUUUUAGUUGGAACGGGUUGGAGGGUGAGGGACAAAGCCCUGGGGCGAAACCGAUUUAGUUACCCGGGAGGCCAGGGGGGAAAACCCUUCCUUUGCUUUGAGGUUGGUGGGGCUCCCGGCCCCAACUUGGUGUCGGGAAAAAAAUUUUUUUAAACAAACCUGCCUGGGAAAGGACGGCCCCCAAAAAUUAAAAAUUUAAAGGGAUUUGGGGGGGGGGAAAAGGGGGAAUUUCUUUUAAACCUUGCGGGGCUUUGGCCCCUUUUGGGGGGGGUUAUUUCUUAGGCUUGGGGGAAACCUGGGCCAAAGUUUUUUUCCGGAA